UACGUAGGGGGCAAGCGUUAUCCGGAUUUACUGGGUGUAAAGGGAGCGCAGGCGGCGUGGCAAGUCAGAUGUGAAAACCCGGGGCCCAACCCCGGGAGUGCAUUUGAAACUGCCAUGCUGGAGUGCCGGAGAGGUAAGCGGAAUUCCUAGUGUAGCGGUGAAAUGCGUAGAUAUUAGGAGGAACACCAGUGGCGGAGGCGGCUUACUGGACGGUAACUGACGCUGAGGCUCGAAAGCGUGGGGGAGCAAACAGG
rnacentral:rRNA from 1 species